rnacentral:rRNA from 1 species
AUUGAACGCUGGCGGCAGGCCUAACACAUGCAAGUCGAACGAGUGGCGGACGGGUGCGUAAUGUCUGGGAAACUGCCUGUUGGCGGGGGAUAACUACUGGAAACGGUAGCUAAUACCGCAUACCAUCAGAUUUGCCCAGUUGGGAUUAGCUAGUUGGUGGGGUAACGGCUCACCAGGGCGACGAUCCCUAGCUGGUCUGAGAGGAUGACCCGCCAGACUGGAACUGAGACACGGUCCAGACGCCUACGGGAGGCAGAAGUGGGGAAUAUUGCACAAUGGGCGAAAGCCUGAUGCAGCCAUGCCGCGUGUAUGAAGAAGGCCUUCGGGUUGUAAAGUACUUUCAGCGGGGAGGCGUUACCCGCAGAAGAAGCACCGGCUAACUCCGUGCCAGCAGCCGCGGUAAUUC